rnacentral:rRNA from 1 species
GAUGAACGCUGGCGGCGUGCCUAAUACAUGCCAGUCGAGCGAACAGACGAGGAGCUUGCUCCUCUGACGUUAGCGGCGGACGGGUGAGUAACACGUGGAUAACCUACCUAUAAGACUGGGAUAACUUCGGGAAACCGGAGCUAAUACCGGAUAAUAUAUUGAACCGCAUGGUUCAAUAGUGAAAGACGGUUUUGCUGUCACUUAUAGAUGGAUCCGCGCCGCAUUAGCUAGUUGGUAAGGUAACGGCUUACCAAGGCAACGAUGCGUAGCCGACCUGAGAGGUGAACCGCCAACGCUGAAACGGAGGCAGGGUCAAGACCCGUAGGGGAGGCAGGAGUAGGGAAUUUUCCGAAAGGGGGGAAGGCCUGACGGGGAAACGCCGCGGGAGUAAAGAAGGUCUGCGGAGCGUAAAACUCUGUUAUUUGGAAAAAAAAAAUGUGUAAGAAACUAUCCACGUCUGGAGGGUACCUAAUAAGAAAGCCACGGCAAACUGCG